rnacentral:rRNA from 1 species
UACGGAGGGUGCAAGCGUUAUCCGGAUUCACUGGGUUUAAAGGGUGCGUAGGUGGGUUGGUAAGUCAGUGGUGAAAUCUCCAGGCUUAACUUGGAAACUGCCAUUGAUACUAUCAAUCUUGAAUACCGUGGAGGUCAGCGGAAUAUGUCAUGUAGCGGUGAAAUGCUUAGAUAUGACAUAGAACACCAGUGGCGAAGGCGACUUCCUGGCCUGUUCUUGACGCUGAGGCGCGAAAGCUAGGGUAGCAAACGGG